rnacentral:pre_miRNA from 1 species
CAGCGUCUCCUACUCCGCCCACUCUUCCCGCCGCGUGGUGGCCGGGUGAGGGCCUCGGGCAGCGC